rnacentral:rRNA from 1 species
UGGGCGCAAGCCUGAUCCAGCAAUGCCGCGUGUGUGAAGACGGCCUUCGGGUUGUAAAGCACUUUCGAUUGGGAAGAAGGGCGCGGGGUUAACAGCCGCGCGUCUUGACGGUACCAAUUGAAGAAGCACCGGCUAACUCCGUGCCAGCAGCCGCGGUAAUACGGAGGGUGCAAGCGUUAAUCGGAAUUACUGGGCGUAAAGGGCGUGUAGGCGGACAUAUCAGUCAGGGGUGAAAUCCCGGGGCUCAACCCCGGAACUGCCUUUGAUACUGUAUGUCUAGAAUCUGUGAGGGGAUAGUGGAAUAUCAAGUGUAGAGGUGAAAUUCGUAGAUAUUCGGAGGAACACCAGUGGCGAAGGCGGCUCACUGGCUCGAUACUGACGCUGAGGUGCGAAAGUGUGGGGAGCAAACAGGAUUAGAUACCCUGGUAGUCCACACCGUAAACGAUGAAUGCCAGUCGUCGGGUAGCAUGCUAUUCGGUGACACACCUAACGGAUUAAGCAUUCCGCCUGGGGAGUACGGUCGCAAGAUUAAAACUCAAAGGAAUUGACGGGGA